rnacentral:tRNA from 1 species
GCAGCUGUGGUGGAACGGUAGACACGCGGGCUUGAGGGGCUCGUGCUUCGCGGCGUGAGGGUUCAAAUCCCUCCAGCUGCACCA